rnacentral:Y_RNA from 1 species
GACUGGUCCAAAGGUAGGAAGUUAUAUCAAUUGAUUGUUCAUAGUCAGUUAGAGAUCGAACUCCUUGUUGUACUCUUCCCCCCUUUUUACUACUGCACUUGACUAAAAA